CCUACGGGAGGCAGCAGUGAGGAAUAUUGGUCAAUGGACGAGAGUCUGAACCAGCCAAGUAGCGUGAAGGAUGACUGCCCUAUGGGUUGUAAACUUCUUUUAUAUGGGAAUAAAACAGGGUAUGCAUACCCUCUUGUAUGUACCAUAUGAAUAAGGAUCGGCUAACUCCGUGCCAGCAGCCGCGGUAAUACGGAGGAUCCGAGCGUUAUCCGGAUUUAUUGGGUUUAAAGGGAGCGUAGGUGGCUUGUUAAGUCAGUUGUGAAAGUUUUCGGCUCAACCGUAAAAUUGCAGUUGAAACUGGCAGUCUUGAGUACAGUAGAGGUGGGCGGAUUUCGUGGUGUAGCGGUUACAUUCUUCGAUAUCAC
rnacentral:rRNA from 1 species